rnacentral:rRNA from 1 species
UGGAUGAUGUGGUUUAAUUCGAUGCAACGCGAAAACCUUACCACCUUUGACAUGUACGGAAGUUGCCAGAGAUGGCUUCGUGCUCGAAAGAGAGCCGUAACACAGGUGCUGCAUGGCUGUCGUCAGCUCGUGUCGUGAGAUGUUGGGUUAAGUCCCGCAACGAGCGCAACCCUUGCCAUUAGUUGCUACGAAAGGGCACUCUAAAUGGGACUGCCGGUGACAAACCGGAGGAAGGUGGGGAUGACGUCAAGUCCUCAUGGCCCUUAUAGGUGGGGCUACACACGUCAUACAAUGGCCGGUACAGAGGGUAGCCAACCCGCGAGGGGGAGCCAAUCCCACAAAGCCGGUCGUAGUCCGGAUCGCAGUCUGCAACUCGACUGCGUGAAGUCGGAAUCGCUAGUAAUCGCGGAUCAGCAUGUCGCGGUGAAUACGUUCCCGGGUCUU